UACGUAGGGUGCAAGCGUUAAUCGGAAUUACUGGGUUUAAAGGGUGCGUAGGCGGUUUUGUAAGUCUGACGUGAAAUCCCCGGGCUCAACCUGGGAAUUGCGAUGGAGACUGCAAGGCUUGAAUCUGGCAGAGGGGGGUAGAAUUCCACGUGUAGCAGUGAAAUGCGUAGAGAUGUGGAGGAACACCGAUGGCGAAGGCAGCCCCCUGGGUCAAGAUUGACGCUCAUGCACGAAAGCGUGGGGAGCAAACAGG
rnacentral:rRNA from 1 species